AUUGAACGCUGGCGGCAUGCCUUACACAUGCAAAUCGAACGGUAACGGGCCUUCGGGUGCCGACGAGUGGCGAACGGGUGAGUAAUACAUCGGAACGUGCCCGAUCGUGGGGGAUAACGAGGCGAAAGCUUUGCUAAUACCGCAUACGAUCUACGGAUGAAAGCAGGGGACCGCAGGGCCUUGCGCGGACGGAGCGGCCGAUGGCAGAUUAGGUAGUUGGUGGGAUAAAAGCUUACCAAGCCGACGAUCUGUAGCUGGUCUGAGAGGAUGAUCAGCCACACUGGGACUGAGACACGGCCCAGACUCCUACGGGAGGCAGCAGUGGGGAAUUUUGGACAAUGGGCGCAAGCCUGAUCCAGCCAUGCCGCGUGCAGGAUGAAGGCCUUCGGGUUGUAAACUGAUUUUGUACGGAACGAAAAGCCUUCUUUUAAUACAGGAGGGUCAUGACGGUACCGUAAGAAUAAGCACCGGCUAACUACGUG
rnacentral:rRNA from 1 species